UAGGGAAUCUUCCACAAUGGGCGCAAGCCUGAUGGAGCAACACCGCGUGAGUGAAGAAGGGUUUCGGCUCGUAAAGCUCUGUUGUUAAAGAAGGACACGUAUGAGAGUAACUGUUCAUACGUUGACGGUAUUUAACCAGAAAGUCACGGCUAACUACGUGUCAG
rnacentral:rRNA from 1 species